AGGCCCUUUAAUAAUAGUCCCGUGAGGCUAGAAAGGAUACGGAAAUGAUUCGAGUAAAGAAUCCUAAUCCCUUUUUUCCUCAUGGAAAAGAGGGAUAUUUUU
rfam:Virgibacillus massiliensis genome assembly, contig: 000001